UACAGAGGUCCCAAGCGUUGUUCGGAUUCAUUGGGCGUAAAGGGUGCGUAGGCGGCGCGGUAAGUCGGGUGUGAAAUCUCGGGGCUUAACUCCGAAACUGCAUUCGAUACUGCCGUGCUUGAGGACUGGAGAGGAGACUGGAAUUUACGGUGUAACGGUGAAAUGCGUAGAUAUCGUAAGGAAGACCAGUGGCGAAGGCGGGUCUCUGGACAGUUCCUGACGCUGAGGCACGAAGGUCAGGGGAGCAAACGGG
rnacentral:rRNA from 1 species